AGCUCCAGUAGUGUAUAUCAAAAUUGCUGCAGUUAAAACGCUCGUAGUUGGAUUACAAACGUCCGGCGUCAGUUGAGCAAUUAGUUUUGCUGACGUGGGGCGUUUUUAUCGCAAGAACCACCUGUGCACUUAACCGUGUAUGAGUGGCCACUUGCGGAGCGUGCCUUGAAUAAAGCACAGUGCUCAAAGCAGGCGUCACGCUUGAAUGUCUUAGCAUGGAACGAAUAAUUAGACUCAUUGCUGUCUGUUGUGCCCUCUUCAGUGGUGUAUAACUGCUGUAGGGGGGUUGUGGCGGAUGGCUUGUUCAGUUGGUUCUCUGAACGGGGUUAUGAUUAAAAGGGACAUUUGAGGGCGUUAGUACUUGGUGGCGAGAGGUGAAAUUCUUAGACCCACUGAAGAC
rnacentral:rRNA from 1 species